rnacentral:rRNA from 1 species
UCAUUAAAUCAGUUAUCGUUUAUUUGAUAGUACCUUACUACAUGGAUACCUGUGGUAAUUCUAGAGCUAAUACAUGCUAAAAACCUCGACUUCGGAAGGGGUGUAUUUAUUAGAUAAAAAACCAACGCCCUUCGGGGCUCCUUGGUGAAUCAUAAUAACUAAGCGAAUCGCAUGGCCUUGCGCCGGCGAUGGUUCAUUCAAAUUUCUGCCCUAUCAACUUUCGAUGGUAGGAUAGUGGCCUACCAUGGUGGCAACGGGUAACGGGGAAUUAGGGUUCGAUUCCGGAGAGGGAGCCUGAGAAACGGCUACCACAUCCAAGGAAGGCAGCAGGCGCGCAAAUUACCCAAUCCCGACACGGGGAGGUAGUGACAAUAAAUACUGAUACGGGGCUCUUUUGGGUCUCGUAAUUGGAAUGAGUACAAUCUAAAUCCCUUAACGAGGAACAAUUGGAGGGCAAGUCUGGUGCCAGCAGCCGCGGUAAUUCCAGCUCCAAUAGCGUAUAUUAAAGUUGUUGCAGUUAAAAAGCUCGUAGUUGAACCUUGGGUCUGGCUGGCCGGUCCGCCUCACCGCGAGUACUGGUCCGGCUGGACCUUUCCUUCUGGGGAACCUCAUGGCCUUCACUGGCUGUGGGGGGAACCAGGACUUUUACUGUGAAAAAAUUAGAGUGUUCAAAGCAGGCCUUUGCUCGAAUACAUUAGCAUGGAAUAAUAGAAUAGGACGUGCGGUUCUAUUUUGUUGGUUUCUAGGACCGCCGUAAUGAUUAAUAGGGAUAGUCGGGGGCGUCAGUAUUCAGCUGUCAGAGGUGAAAUUCUUGGAUUUGCUGAAGACUAACUACUGCGAAAGCAUUCGCCAAGGAUGUUUUCAUUAAUCAGGGAACGAAAGUUAGGGGAUCGAAGACGAUCAGAUACCGUCGUAGUCUUAACCAUAAACUAUGCCGACUAGGGAUCGGGCGGUGUUUCUAUAAUGACC